CGCAGAGGCUCCAUGGCGCGUUCGCCAGGAGGUGGCCCUGGCAACCCGGACGCCCUCGCGCCUUGGAGGACAGGCGAUUCCCGAGAACCCUGAAAGUAAUCUCUACACCCAACACAGGGCUUGAACUCAGAACCCGGAGAUCAAGCGUCACAUGCUCUACCGACUGAGCCAGACAGGUGCCCCGAAAAUUGAAAGUUUUAGAUGAAAUCAGUGCAAAGGAGAAAAGGUGUAAAUGGAGCAGUUGAAUGCUUAUCCCGUACAUCUGUCUGCUGGAAGCCAAAAUACAGUGGAAAUGAUUUGAUUUCAGUGUCAGGAAGCGGCAGCUGGUGUGACCUCCCAGCCACCUUGAACUUGAGUGGGGACUCCACCCUUUGAUGAUUUAAGGCAGCCAAGACUCAUUGCCUCUUUGUGUUGGAAGGAACCAGGACGAGCAUUUCGUCCCAAUGGCUAAAGAACAAUGACUAUCCUCUUGGACACUCUGGACCAAGCGUCAUAACCUGGGGGUGAUAAUACGCCAGUGAUGGGAAUGUACAAGGCAGUCCCCCCAUCCUAAUUUUGAACCGGAUGAAUCGUUAGAAUCUGCUGCGUGCGGUUGAGCCACGUCUCCUCUUGUAAGUCCUGGUCUGGCCUCAGGGGCUGCACAGACCCUGAUCCUUCCUCUUUAUAGCACCAAGGAUUUGGCAAUGCCUGUGUGGUACCCUUCGGAGGCUCCAAGACUUCUGUUCCCAAAGUAACACACCCUUCCAAAAGUGUUCUUUGCAUAGCAGUGCUUUUAUUGAAUAUUCGUGUGCGUAAGUCUUUGCAUACCUGGCUUGGGAUACAUUUCUACAAAUGAAGCUCUUGGGACAAAUGGUACAUUCUACAGCUUUUGCUGUAUAUUUCAGAUCACUUUCCGCAGGGGUACUUUUGUCUCCCCGCCCACAAGUGGUUUACAAGAGAGCCUAUUU
rnacentral:lncRNA from 1 species